rnacentral:rRNA from 1 species
GACGAACGCUGGCGGCGUGCUUAACACAUGCAAGUCGAGCGGUAAGGCCCUUUCGGGGGUACACGAGCGGCGAACGGGUGAGUAACACGUGGGUGACCUGCCCUUAGCUCUGGGAUAAGCCUGGGAAACUGGGUCUAAUACCGGAUAUGACUCCAUGACGCAUGUUGUGGGGUGGAAAGCCUUGUGCGGCUAGGGAUGGGCCCGCGGCCUAUCAGCUUGUUGGUGGGGUGAUGGCCACCAAGGCGACGACGGGUAGCCGGCCUGAGAGGGCGACCGGCCACACUGGGACUGAGACACGGCCCAGACUCCGUACGGGGAGGCAGCAGGUGGGGAAUCUUGCGCAAGUGGGACGAAAGCCUGACGCAGCGACGCCGCGGUGGGGA